CCAUCAUCCUCAACCCCCACAAACCAAAAUAUUUUUUAAAUAUAGUAAAGAUGAUUAAAAAAUUAAUAAGAGUAAUAUAAAUGUACCGCAAGGGAAAACUGAAAUAACACCACAUUAAAUCCUUUAAGCACAAAAAAGUAGAGAUUACCCCUCGUUCCUUUUGCAUCAUGAUUUAACAAGAAACCAUGGACAAAAAGAAAUUUAGUCCUUAACCCCGAAUCCAAGUGAGCUACCUAAGGGCAACUUAAUGAGCUAACCCGUCUCUGUUGCAAAAGAGUGGGAAGACCCUUUAGUAGAGGUGAUAUGCCUACCGCACUUGGUGAUAGCUGGUUAUUCAAGAAAAGAAUUUUAGUUCUCCCUAAAGUCCAACAAAUCACCAAUUAUAACCCACAUACUUUAGAGCUACUCAAAUAAGGUACAGCUUAUUUGAAACAGGGUACAACCUACACCAAUGGGUAAUUACAAUUUUAUUGCAAAUCCGUCGGCCUAGAAGCAGCCACCAGGUAAAUGCGUUAAAGCUUUUUUGCUAUAUUACACCCCUCAAUACCAUUUUUUUCCCACAACCCUUCACCACUAUUGAAUAAUUCUAUACUAUAUAGAACCUAUGAUGUUAAAACUAGUAAAAAGAAUACUUUUCUCUUAAAUGUAACCCAAAUCAUUUUUAUCACGCCACUAAAAUUAUAAUAACAACUAUUAUCCUCUCCCUCCCCAUUUAAAAACUUUAUUUUUAACCAACGUUUUCUAACCCAAGAACACUCCAAGCAAGACAAAACAAAAAAAAAGGAACUCGGCAAAUAUAGAUAUCGCCUGUUUACCAAAAACAUCGCCUCUUGACUUCUAUAAGAGGUCCAGCCUGCCCAGUGAAUUUUUAACGGCCGCGGUAUUCUAACCGUGCAAAGGUAGCACAAUCACUUGUUCUUUAAUUAAGGACCGGUAUGAAUGGCACCACGAAUAUCUAACUGUCUCUUUUCUUCUAUCAUUGAAACUAAUCUCCCCGUGAAAAAGCGGGGAUAUAUCUAUAAGACGAGAAGACCCUAUGGAGCUUUAAACCAAAUAGCAAUUAUUUUAAUUCUGCUACGAGGUUUUUGGUCGGGGCAGCCGCGGAGAACAACUUAUCCUCCAAAUUGUACCUAGAAUCUUCUUUAACCAUAAGCCACAUCUUUACGUAUCAAUAAAUUGACAUUAAUUGACCCAGUUUCUGAUCAACGAAACAAGUUACCCUAGGGAUAACAGCGCAAUCUUCUUCAAGAGUUCAUAUCGACAAGCGGGUUUACGACCUCGAUGUUGGAUCAGGGUGACCUGGUGGUGCAGACGCUACCUACGGUUCGUUCGUUCAACGAUU
rnacentral:rRNA from 1 species